UAGUCCACGCCGUAAACGAUGAAUGCUAGGUGUCGGGGGUCGAACCUCGGUGCCGCAGUUAACGCAAUAAGCAUUCCACCUGGGGAGUACGACCGCAAGGUUGAAACUCAAAGGAAUUGACGGGGGCCCGCACAAGCGGUGGAGCAUGUGGUUUAAUUCGAAGCAACGCGAAGAACCUUACCAAAUCUUGACAUCCCAUUGACCGGCAUUUAAUUUUGCCUUUUCUUCGGAACAAUGGUGACAGGUGGUGCAUGGUUGUCGUCAGCUCGUGUCGUGAGAUGUUGGGUUAAGUCCCGCAACGAGCGCAACCCUUAUCUUUAGUUGCCAUCAUUAAGUUGGGCACUUUAAAGAGACUGCCGGUGACAAACCGGAGGAAGGUAAGGAUGACGUCAAGUCAGCAUGCCCCUUAUGCUCUGGGCUACACACGUGCUACAAUGGCCGUGACAAAGAGUUGCUACUUUGUGAAAACAAGCUAAUCUCAUAAAACGCGGCCUCAGUUCGGAUUGCAGGCUGAAACUCG
rnacentral:rRNA from 1 species